rnacentral:tRNA from 1 species
GUGGUAGACUAACACCAGGGUAAGGUGUAAGUUUUCGGUUCAAAUUCGGUAAAGGGGC